rnacentral:rRNA from 1 species
CAGUCGCGUUUGCCGGGACUCAGCCUUGCUUCUGCUUGGUGUACUUUCUGGUUUGAUGGGCCAACAUCAACUUUGACCGUUGGAGAAAGGCUUUGGGAAUGUGGCACCUUAGGGUGUGUUAUAGCCCUUUGUUGUAUACAACGGUUGGGAUUGAGGACUGCAGCAUGCCUUCAUGGCCGGGGUUACCCCACGGUACAUGCUUAGGAUGUUGGCAUAAUGGCUUUAAGCGACCCGUUUGAAACACGGACCAAGGAGUCUAACAUAUAUGCGAGUG